CCCUCCCUCUUUCUUCCUGCCUAACACAUGCAAGUCGAACGAGACCUUCGGGUCUAGUGGCGCACGGGUGCGUAACGCGUGGGAACCUGCCCUUAGGUUCGGAAUAACUCCCCGAAAGGGGUGCUAAUACCGGAUAAUGUCUUCGGACCAAAGAUUUAUCGCCUUUGGAUGGGCCCGCGUUGGAUUAGCUAGUUGGUAGGGUAAAAGCCUACCAAGGCGACGAUCCAUAGCUGGUCUGAGAGGAUGAUCAGCCACACUGGGACUGAGACACGGCCCAGACGCCUACGGGAGGCAGCAGUGGGGAAUAUUGGACAAUGGGCGAAAGCCUGAUCCAGCAAUGCCGCGUGAGUGAUGAAGGCCUUAGGGUUGUAAAGCUCUUUUAACCGGGAUGAUAAUGACAGUACCGGGAGAAUAAGCUCCGGCUAACUCCGUG
rnacentral:rRNA from 1 species